CAAACCGACUGUUGAAGAACCAAGAGAAUUACAAAGGAGUCAAAACAAAAGAUGCCAGCAGAAAAAGGAAUUAGAUAUGUCCAAAACUGAAAACAGAAUAAUUUAGAACGGUGGAAGCAUUUAUUCGAAGCAGAUAAAAUCAGACUCCGCUCUCCCCACUGACCAAAAUAGACUGGCUUCUUGCCUCAUUUAUCAUCGCCCUGCAAACAGAUGCGGGCUUAGCUCUCCAAAUGCAGCUCCUUUAUAUUGCUCCAUCAUAUGGACACUAUACAAAUGCGGAAGUCUUUGGAAUGGAUUCACCGCGAUCAAGAUGUUUCCGGUCAAAACGGCAAUCGAGAUUGUGGAGGACCCCUGGCUCAUGGAGUGACUAUUUUGGCAUUGGUGCCUAUGAUUUCAAUCACUUCUCCACUAAUCCAUGCGAGUUCUGGAUCCUCGACCCAGACG